rnacentral:rRNA from 1 species
CGUAGGUGGCAAGCGUUGUCCGGAUUUAUUGGGCGUAAAGGGAACGCAGGCGGUUUUUUAAGUCUGAUGUGAAAGCCUUCGGCUUAACCGGAGAUGUGCAUUGGAAACUGGAAGACUUGAGUGCAGAAGAGGAGAGUGGAACUCCAUGUGUAGCGGUGAAAUGCGUAGAUAUAUGGAAGAACACCAGUGGCGAAAGCGGCUCUCUGGUCUGUAACUGACGCUGAGGUUCGAAAGCAUGGGUAGCGAACAGGAUU